CCUACGGGAGGCAGCAGUGAGGAAUAUUGGUCAAUGGGCGCAGGCCUGAACCAGCCAAGUCGCGUGAGGGAAGACUGCCCUAUGGGUGGUAAAUCCCUUUUAUAGGGGAAGAAUAAUGACUACGUGUAGUCAGAUGCCCGUACCUUACGAAUAAGCAUCGGCUAACUCCGUGCCAGCAGCCGCGGUAAUACGGGGGAUGAGUGUGUUAUGUGUUUUUAUGGGGUUGCAAGGGUGCGUUGGGGGUAUUUAAAGGUAUUGGUAAAACGGCGGGGCUUCACAUUGAUUGGCCAUUGAAACUGGUGUACUAGAGUACAGACGAGGUAGGCGGAAUAAGUUAAGUAGCGGUGAAAUGCUUAGAUAUAAGUUAGAACACCGAUAGCGAAGGCAGCUUACCAGACGGUUACUGACGCUGAGGCACGAGAGCGUGGGUAGCGAACAGGAUUAGAUACCCGGGUAGUC
rnacentral:rRNA from 1 species